rnacentral:Y_RNA from 1 species
GGCUGCUCUGAAGGUAGUGAGUUAUUGCAACUGAUUGUUCACGGUCAGCUACAGAUCGGAUCUUUCUACGCUUUCCUUCCGUCUCACUACUGCUCUUGAUAGUCUUAA